ensembl:snRNA U6 U6 spliceosomal RNA
GUGCUUGCUUGGGCAGCACAUGUACUAAAAUGGAACAAUACAGAGAAGAUUAGCAGGGCCCCUGUGCAAGGACAACAGGCAAAUCUGUGAGGUGUUCAAUAUAGAA